rnacentral:tRNA from 1 species
UGGGAUGUUGUUUAGUGGUAGAGCACUUGCCUAGCAUGUAGGAGGCCUUGGGUUAUAACCCAGCACCACAU